rnacentral:rRNA from 1 species
AUUGAACGCUGGCGGCAGGCUUAACACAUGCAAGUCGAGCGAGCGGCGGACGGGUGAGUAAUGUCUGGGAAACUGCCUGAUGGAGGGGGAUAACUACAGGAAACGGUAGCUAAUACCGCAUAACAUCAGAUGUGCCCAGAUGGGAUUAGCUAGGAGGUGGGGUAAAGGCUCAACUAGGCGACGAUCCCUAGCUGGUGUGAGAGGAUGACCAGCCACACUGGAACUGAGACACGGUCCAGAAUCCUACGCGAGGUAGCAGUGGGGAAUAUUGCACAAGGGGGGCAAGCCUAGUGCAGGCAUGCCGCGUGUGUGAAGAAGGCCUUCGGGUUGUAAAGCACUUUCAGCGAGGAGGCGUUACUCGCAGAAGAAGCACCGGCUAACUCCGUGCCAGCAGCCGCGGUAAUUC